AUGGACAGGCUUACUUCCUCAUUCCUACUGCUGAUUGUUCCCUCAUAUGUCUUAUCCCAGGUUACUCUGAAAGAGUCUGCCCCUGGGAUACUGCAGCCCUCCCAGACCCUCAGUCUGACUUGCUCUUUUUCUGGAUUUUCCCUGGGCACUUCUAAUAUGGGUGUUGGUUGGAUUCGUCAGACUUCAGGGAAGGGCCUGGAGUAUCUGGCAACCAUUUGGUGGGAUGAUGAUAAGUACUUCAAUCCAUCACUGAAGAGUCAACUCACAGUCUCCAAGGACACCUCCAACAACCAAGCAUUCCUGAAGAUCACUAAUGUGGACACAGCAGAUACUGGCACAUACUACUGUACUCAGAGACCACAUUGGUGCCGCCUCACUUUUCGGUUGUACAAUAUUUCAGAAGGUCACUAUUAA